GAUGAACGCUGGCGGCGUGCCUAAUACAUGCAAGUCGAGCGAACAGACGAGGAGCUUGCUCCUCUGACGUUAGCGGCGGACGGGUGAGUAACACGUGGAUAACCUACCUAUAAGACUGGGAUAACUUCGGGAAACCGGAGCUAAUACCGGAUAAUAUAUUGAACCGCAUGGUUCAAUAGUGAAAGACGGUUUUGCUGUCACUUAUAGAUGGAUCCGCGCCGCAUUAGCUAGUUGGUAAGGUAACGGCUUACCAAGGCAACGAUGCGUAGCCGACCUGAGAGGGUGAUCGGCCACACUGGAACUGAGACACGGUCCAGACUCCUACGGGAGGCAGCAGUAGGGAAUCUUCCGCAAUGGGCGAAAGCUUGACGGAGUAACGCAGCGUGAGUGAUGAAGGGCUUCGGAUCGUAAAACUCUGUUAUUAGGGAAGAACAAAUGUGUAAGUAACUAUGCACGUCUUGACGGUACCUAAUCAGAAAGCCACGGCUAACUACGU
rnacentral:rRNA from 1 species